CACUCCUGCGGGAGGCAGCAGUGGGGAAUUUUGGACAAUGGGCGAAAGCCUGAUCCAGCAAUGCCGCGUGUGUGAAGAAGGCCUUCGGGUUGUAAAGCACUUUUGUCCGGAAAGAAAUCCUUGGCUCUAAUACAGUCGGGGGAUGACGGUACCGGAAGAAUAAGCACCGGCUAACUACGUGCCAGCAGCCGCGGUAAUACGUAGGGUGCGAGCGUUAAUCGGAAUUACUGGGCGUAAAGCGUGCGCAGGCGGUUUGCUAAGACCGAUGUGAAAUCCCCGGGCUCAACCUGGGAACUGCAUUGGUGACUGGCAGGCUAGAGUAUGGCAGAGGGGGGUAGAAUUCCACGUGUAGCAGUGAAAUGCGUAGAGAUGUGGAGGAAUACCGAUGGCGAAGGCAGCCCCCUGGGCCAAUACUGACGCUCAUGCACGAAAGCGUGGGGAGCAAACAGGAUUAGAUACCCGAGUAGUCCCAUGAU
rnacentral:rRNA from 1 species